rnacentral:rRNA from 1 species
GGCGGCGUGCUUAACACAUGCAAGUCGAGCGAUGAAGCACCUUCGGGUGUGAAUUAGCGGCGAACGGGUGAGGAACACGUGAAGAAUCUGCCUUCAACUCUGGGAUAACUCCGGGAAACCGGGGCUAAUACCGGAUAUGAGCCUUGAUCGCAUGAUCGGGGCUGGAAAGUUUUUCGGUUGAAGAUGACUUCGCGGCCUAUCAGCUUGUUGGUGAGGUAAUGGCUCACCAAGGCGACGACGGGUAGCCGGCCUGAGAGGGCGACCGGCCACACUGGGACUGAGACACGGCCCAGACUCCUACGGGAGGCAGCAGUGGGGAAUAUUGGGCAAUGGAGGAAACUCUGACCCAGCGACGCCGCGUGAGGGAUGAAGGCCUUCGGGUUGUAAACCUCUUUCAGUAGGGAAGAAGCGAAAGUGACGGUACCUACAGAAGAAGCACCGGCUAACUAUGUGCCAGCAGCCGCGGUAAUACAUAGGGUGCAAGCGUUGUCCGGAAUUAUUGGGCGUAAAGAGCUCGUAGGUGGUUCGAUACGUCGGAUGUGAAAAUCAGGGGCUCAACCCCUGACCUGCAUCCGAUACGGUCGAGCUAGAGUUUGGUAGGGGAGACUGGAAUUCCUGGUGUAGCGGUGGAAUGCGCAGAUAUCAGGAGGAACACCGAUGGCGAAGGCAGGUCUCUGGGCCAAUACUGACACUGAGGAGCGAAAGCGUGGGGAGCGAACAGGAUUAGAUACCCUGGUAGUCCACGCCGUAAACGGUGGGCGCUAGUUGUGCGAACCUUCCACGGUUUGCGCGACGCAGCUAACGCAUUAAGCGCCCCGCCUGGGGAGUACGAUCGCAAGAUUAAAACUCAAAGGAAUUGACGGGGCCCCGC